rnacentral:rRNA from 1 species
UCGAACGAGUUCUCGUUGAUGAUCGGUGCUUGCACCGAGAUUCAACAUGGAACGAGUGGCGGACGGGUGAGUAACACGUGGGUAACCUGCCCUUAAGUGGGGGAUAACAUUUGGAAACAGAUGCUAAUACCGCAUAGAUCCAAGAACCGCAUGGUUCUUGGCUGAAAGAUGGCGUAAGCUAUCGCUUUUGGAUGGACCCGCGGCGUAUUAGCUAGUUGGUGAGGUAAUGGCUCACCAAGGCGAUGAUACGUAGCCGAACUGAGAGGUUGAUCGGCCACAUUGGGACUGAGACACGGCCCAAACUCCUACGGGAGGCAGCAGUAGGGAAUCUUCCACAAUGGACGCAAGUCUGAUGGAGCAACGCCGCGUGAGUGAAGAAGGCUUUCGGGUCGUAAAACUCUGUUGUUGGAGAAGAAUGGUCGGCAGAGUAAUUGUUGCCGGCGUGACGGUAUCCAACCAGAAAGCCACGGCUAACUACGUGCCAGCAGCCGCGGUAAUACGUAGGUGGCAAGCGUUAUCCGGAUUUAUUGGGCGUAAAGCGAGCGCAGGCGGUUUUUUAAGUCUGAUGUGAAAGCCCUCGGCUUAACCGAGGAAGCGCAUCGGAAACUGGGAAACUUGAGUGCAGAAGAGGACAGUGGAACUCCAUGUGUAGCGGUGAAAUGCGUAGAUAUAUGGAAGAACACCAGUGGCGAAGGCGGCUGUCUGGUCUGUAACUGACGCUGAGGCUCGAAAGCAUGGGUAGCGAACAGGAUUAGAUACCCUGGUAGUCCAUGCCGUAAACGAUGAAUGCUAGGUGUUGGAGGGUUUCCGCCCCUCAGUGCCGCAGCUAACGCAUUAAGCAUUC